AACGAACGCUGGCGGCAGGCCUAACACAUGCAAGUCGAACGCCGUAGCAAUACGGAGUGGCAGACGGGUGAGUAACGCGUGGGAACAUACCCUCCGGUUCGGAAUAACUCAGGGAAACUUGAGCUAAUACCGGAUACGUCCAAGGUUUUAAUCGGCCUUGGAGAAAGAUUUAUCGCUGGAGGAUUGGCCCGCGUCUGAUUAGCUUGUUGGUGAGGUAAUGGCUCACCAAGGCGACGAUCAGUAGCUGGUCUGAGAGGAUGAUCAGCCACAUUGGGACUGAGACACGGCCCAAACUCCUACGGGAGGCAGCAGUGGGGAAUAUUGGACAAUGGCGAAAGCCUGAUCCAGCCAUGCCGCGUGAGUGAUGAAGGCCUUAGGGUUGU
rnacentral:rRNA from 1 species